AUUGAACGCUGGCGGCGUGCUUAACACAUGCAAGUCGAUCGGUAACGCGGGGGCAACCCUGGCGGCGAGAGGCGGACGGGUGAGGAACGCUUGGGAAUCUGCCUAUCAGCGGGGGACAACACGGGGAAACUCGUGCUAAUACCGCAUACGCUCUACGGAGGAAAGCCGGGGACCGCAGGGCCUGGCACUGAUAGAUGAGCCCAAGCCGGAUUAGCUAGUUGGCGGGGUAACGGCCCACCAAGGCGAGGAUCCGUAGCUGGUCUGAGAGGACGAUCAGCGACACUGGGGCUGAGACACGGCCCAGACUCCUACGGGAGGCAGCAGUGGGGAAUAUUGGACAAUGGGGGAAACCCUGAUCCAGCGACGCCGCGUGGGUGAAGAAGGCCUGCGGGUUGUAAAGCCCUUUCGGUAGGGACGAAAGCUCUCGACCUAACACGUCGGGAGGUUGACUUAACCUACAAAAGAAGCACCGGCUAACUCUGUGCCAGCAGCCGCCGUAAGAC
rnacentral:rRNA from 1 species